GAGUUCAUGCCCGAAAGGGUAGACCUCCCACCCUUGUGUAUUAUUACUUUGUUGCUUUGGCGAGCUGCCUUCGGGCCUUGUAUGUUCGCCGGAGAAUAUCAAAACUCUUUUUAUUAAUGUCGUCCGAGUACUAUAUAAUAGUUAAAACUCUCAACAACGGAUCUCUUGGUUCU
rnacentral:misc_RNA from 1 species